rnacentral:rRNA from 1 species
UAGGGAAUCUUCAGCAAUGGACGGAAGUCUGACCGAGCAACGCCGCGUGAGUGAAGAAGGUUUUCGGAUCGUAAAGCUCUGUUGUUAGAGAAGAACGUUGGUAGGAGUGGAAAAUCUACCAAGUGACGGUAACUAACCAGAAAGGGACGGCUAACUACGUGCCAGCAGCCGCGGUAAUACGUAGGUCCCGAGCGUUGUCAGGAUUUAUUGGGCGUAAAGCGAGCGCAGGCGGUUCUUUAAGUCUGAAGUUAAAGGCAGUGGCUUAACCAUUGUACGCUUUGGAAACUGGAGGACUUGAGUGCAGAAGGGGAGAGUGGAAUUCCAUGUGUAGCGGUGAAAUGCGUAGAUAUAUGGAGGAACACCGGUGGCGAAAGCGGCUCUCUGGUCUGUAACUGACGCUGAGGCUCGAAAGCGUGGGGAGCAAACAGG